CCACAUUGGAGGGUUUUCGAGCAUGAACCGCCUUUUUAAGGUCAUGCCACAGCAUCUCAAUAGGAUUCAGGUCAGGAUUUUGACUAGGCCACUCCAAAGUCUUCAUUUUGUUUUUCUUUAGCCAUUCAGAGGUGGACUUGCUGGUGUGUUUUGGAUCAUUGUCCUGCUGCAGAACCCAAGUUCGCUUCAGCUUGAGGUCACGAACAGAUGGCCGGACAUUCUCCUUCAGGAUUUUUUGAUUAACAGCAGAAUUGUUUGUGAGGUGAGGUCUGCAGUUCUUUGGAUGUUGUUGUGGGGUCUUUUGUGACCUCUUGGAUGAGUCGUCGCUGUGCUCUUGGGGUAAUUUUGGUCGGCCGGCCACUCCUGGGAAGGUUCUCCACUGUUCCAUGUUUUUGCCAUUUGUGAAUAAUAAGAUUCAUAGUUUGGACGCAGGCUAACGUUAACUGGCUAAGUGAGCCAUCGGCAAGACCCCACCACCACCCAAAGAUUGAAACGGAGAUUAAAGUCAUCAUCUAAUCUAUUAAAGAGGAUAACCAAUGUCUCUCUCUCACACACACACACACCAAUCCUCUAAAGCAGCGACGCCAAUGAACUGACAGGUGGAGUUUUUCCAUUCUCUCCGGCACAUUCACUCGAAGACCCCAUCAUUGGAUGAGUGCAUGCUUACUCUGUGUGUGUGUGUGUGUGAGUGUGCAUAUGGUCAGCUGAAAGAGGAGAUAACUCCACGGAGUCGGAGAAGAAAGCGUAGGCAUGGCUCAAGGCACUCCCUUGAGGCCGCGUCCCCCUGAGGUCCUUAUGUAAUGCUGCCUCAUCUGCUAAUAGACGGCAGCUGGGCCUGAUACACGCACACGUACACAUUUAAGGAAGUCUCUGAAGUGUCCCAAGGGAGAAGUUGAACUCUUGUUUAUUGUUUUCUCUUUGACUCAAUCUUCACAUACUCACCUGUGAAUCCCAGAAUUCCUCUGAGCUCCAAAGUCGUCAUUUCCGAAUCGCUCCACUGACCUAGAUCAGUUCCCAGUAGCAUUGAGGUGUGUGUUAGCUAAGCGCUGCUCUUUUCACCUGUUUUUUGACUCUGUGCAAGCUCCAUCAAGAGAGGUGUUUUAAC
rnacentral:lncRNA from 1 species